rnacentral:rRNA from 1 species
UACGAAGGGGGCUAGCGUUGCUCGGAAUCACUGGGCGUAAAGCGCACGUAGGCGGAUUUCUAAGUCAGGGGUGAAAUCCUGGAGCUCAAUUCCAGAACUGCCUUUGAUACUGGGGAUCUCGAGUCCGGAAGAGGUGAGUGGAACUCCGAGUGUAGAGGUGAAAUUCGUAGAUAUUCGGAAGAACACCAGUGGCGAAGGCGGCUCACUGGUCCGGUACUGACGCUGAGGUGCGAAAGCGUGGGGAGCAAACAGG